rnacentral:lncRNA from 1 species
UCUUUUUUUUUUUUUUUUUUUUUGGAAACUGAAUAGUUUGUUCUAGCUGAAUUCAAAUAGAUGUUCAGUUGGUAGAACAAUUACUUUGUGUGCACAUGGUAAAUGUUAUUUACUUGGACACAUUUGCCUUUUUCUAUUUUAUACUUAAUUGGUUUGACUGCAUCUCUAAAAGCUGCUCUUUAGACUGGCAGCCAACAAACCCCACAUGUCUGAGAGAGAUGCCAGGAAAGUGUUUGUGCUCCAAUUUCCCUAAUCCUUAAUUUUUAGAGGUCACUGAAAUCACGAUUCUUUAGAGGGUGGUAGUGUGUUUUGGACCAUGGCAUGGGAAAAAAUUAACACUUUAGUGACUUAUGCAUUACACUUUUAACAUGUGUUAACUUAUUUAAUUAUUAGAAUUCUAUGAGGUAGAUGGCCUAUCAGGUUUAUACAUAAAAAUUUGGGGUUAAUUAGCCUGUUUCAAAUCUUUGUUUUUUAAUGCAAAUACUUUGCACAUCCUUUUCUUUUUCUUUUUUUUCUUAGAUAUUUUCUUCAUUUACAUUUGAAAUGCUAUCCCAAAAGUCCCUCCCCCCACCCCCCCUUUUUUAAUUAGAUAUUUUCUUUGUUUACAUUUCAAAUGUUAUCCCCUUUCCUGGUUUUCUCUUUGAAAACCCCCUAUCCCUUUCCCCCUCCCCCUGCUCACCAACCCACCUACUCCUGCUUCCCUGUCCUGGCAUUCCUCUACACUGGGGCAUCGAUCCUUCACAAAACCAAGGGCCUCUCUUCCCAUUGAUGUCCAACAAGGCCAUCCUCUGCUACAUAUGCAGCUGGAGCCAUGUGUCCCUCCAUGUGUACUCUUUGGUUGGUGGUUUAGUCCCUGGGAGCUCUGGGGGUACUGGUUGGUUCAUAUGGUUGUUCCUCCUCUGGGGCUGCAAGCUCCUUCAGCUCCUUCAGUCCUUUCUCUAGCUCUUCCAUUGGGAACUUUGUGCUCAGUCUAGUGGUUAGCUGAGAGCAUCCGCCUCUGUAUUUGUCAGGCACUGGCAGAGCCUCUCAAGAGACAGCUGUAUCAGGCUCCUGUCAGCAAGCACUUGUUGGCAUCCAACUUGUUGGGUUUGGUGACUGUAUUUGGGGUGAAUCCCCAAGUGGGACAGUCUCCGGAUGGCCUUUUCUUCAGUCUCUGCGCCAUACUUUGUCUCUGUAUCUCCUCCCAUGGGUAUUUUGUUCCCCCUUCUAAGAAAGGCUUGAAGUAUCCAUACUUUGGUCUUCCUUCUUCUUGAGCUUCAUUUGGUCUAUGAGUUGUAUCUUGGGUAUUCUGAGCUUCUGGGCUAAUAUCCACUUAUCAGUGAGUGUAUACCAUGUGUGUUCUUUUGUGAUUGGGUUACCUCACACAGGAUGAUAUAUUCUAGUUUCAUCCAUUUGCCUAAGAAUGUGAUGAAUUCAUUGUUUUUAAUUUGGCAGUUCCUCAGAAAAUUGGACAUAGUAUUACCUGAGGACCCAGCUGUACCAUUCCUGGGCAUAUACCCAGAAGAUGCUUCAACAUGUAAUAAGAACACAUACCUGUCUCAAAUCUUAAGUGACAGGACUAUGAUUUGAAGACAUCUCUGUCUCCAAGUCUCGUUCUUUCUAUUAUACCGCAUGUGUCUCUGUCUGUUAUAUUGCUGUAGCUGUUAAACGGAACAGGGUAACUUUCUGUUAGUGUUUCAGUACGACAAGGCAGUUAAUGGGAUAAGUAGGCAUACUAAGAAGAUUGCACUUCAUAGGACUUAGGUCAGCUAAGUUAGAGUGUAAACCUGUCAACUUGCGUGUGAUAAGUCAUAUGUUGUAGUUUCCAAGACUAUAAAUGAAGAUCACAUAUGUUCAGGUUUCUAAUGGUACAUGUGUGUGUGAGCUUUGAAACUUAGAAAAUUCACUAAUGUAAAAAAAUAUGACUGACACAUCAUGUGGCUUGGUGAAUGAUAUUGUUCUUAUAACCAAGAAACACUUAGUUGAUCUUGGCAGUAUGCCAUUGAAACUCAAAGAAAUAGCAUCUGUCAAUCACAGUCAUUUCUUGGAAGGAAGCAUUGAAAAACGGCACAGCAGUUAUUCUCCUUGACCUCUUUCCCUGAAAGGGAAUUGGAUUAGGCAAGCUGGUUUCAUAAUAGAGUAGAGCUUCUCUCUUGUCCCUGGGGAAUUUAAGCCGAGCAGCCAGACUUGCUGUGUGAAGCCAGUACAAUCUGGUUUUCAAGGAUUUAACUAAAUUCACUGUGAUUAAGGUUUUAUGAGGGAUGCACAUUGCAAAGCAGCAGCUUUAAAAAUGCUGCAUCUGAGUCAGUCCAUGUCUUUAGAUUGGAGAACAGAACAGAACAGAACAACUAAGUAAAUUCAGGGAAUGCUCCUCACCAGUUCUGUAGUAUCUUAAAGAGAAGCCUAGAUUUCGAAGCUGAAAAGUAGGCAGAAGGGGACAUUAUAUAGAUUAUAUAAUGAGUCUUUGUGUAGGCAGUGCUUGAUAUUUCUUCAGGUUUUAGUUUAUAAGCUGACUCAAGGAUUUUAUUUCACCGUACAGAAAGAGAAAACCAUGUUGAGCAUAGUGGUAUAGCCUGUAUUCCCAGUAGUGAGCAGGCAAGAAGUGUGAGCAUUCUUGCAGGUUGUAGGUCAGCCUCAUCUGCAUGGUAGCUCCAGGCAAGUCACCACUACAUAACAUGACCCUGUCACGAACACAUAAAGCUAACCGAAAGGUAAACAAACACACAGUACACAGUGGGAAUAUAGUUAGUAUAUAAAUAUUAAUAGAAAUCAGUCACAGACCAGAUAUAAUGGCACCUACCUAUAAUCUCAGCUCUGGGGAAACAGAGGCAAUUGGAUCUCUGUUUGUUCAAAGCCAGCCUGAUAUAUGUAGAAAAAUUCCAGCCCAGCAAAUGGUUUAUAGUGAGACCCUGCUUUAAAAAAAAUUACAGUAUUUCAAUUAUUACCUUAAAAAUGAAGGCAUGCUGGAGAGGCCCCCUAUACCCUGGUAAAACUCAACAUUGUCUUUGAUUAGGCUGAUCUUGCUUCAUUCCUUUCACAAACAGUGGCUGGCUUUGCUAGGAGUUUCAUGCAAUGCAAAUCCCUUGUGAUUCUUUUUAAAUGGUUAUUGAUUAGCCUGGCAUCAUGGCGCAGAUCUUAACUCUUAGCUUGCAGGAGGCUGAGGAAGGGUGAUUACAGUGGAUUUGAGGCCUGCAUGGCUCACACAGUGUGACCCUGUCUC